CCAAAAACCGCGCACAACAAACAUCUAAUUCAGAACUGGUACGAACAAGGAGAAUCCGACUGUUUAAUUAAAACAAAGCAUUGUGACGGUCCGUAAGGAUGUAGACACAAUGUGAUUUCUGCCCAGUGCUCUGAAUGUUAACGUGAAGGAAUUCAAACAAGCGCGGGUAAACGGCGGGAGUAACUAUGACUCUCUUAAGGUAGCCAAAUGCCUCGUCAUCUAAUUGUGACGCGCACGAAUGGAUUAAUGAGAUUCUCACUGUCUCUACCCACCAUCUAGCGAAACCACAGCCAAGGGAACGGGCUUGGAAUAGAAAGCGGGGAAAGAAGACCCUGUUGAGCUUGACUCUAGUCUGCUUCUGUGAAAAGACUUUGGAGGUGUAGCGUAAGGAGGAGCUUUGCGGCGAACUUGAAACACUCCUACUUCGAACGUCUUUUUACUUCGGGUGUGAUGUGCUGUUGCUUCUGCUCGAAAGAGCAGACUUCUAGUUGUGUCACGUUGUUUUUAGUAACAACAAAGCAAUCACCCAACAAAAGCAGGUGGGGAGUUUGACUGGGGCGGUACAUCUGCGAAAAAAUAGCGCAGGUGAACCAAGGCGGGCUCAGUGAGAAGAGAAAUCUCACGUAGAGCUAAAGGGCAAAAGCCCGCUUGAUUUAGUCUUUCAGUGUGAGAACAAACGAGGAAACUGUGUCCUAUCGAUCCUUUAUGUUGCUAAGAACUUUAGCCUAGAGGUGCCAGAAAAGUUACCACAGGGAUAACUGGCUUGUGGCUGCCAAGCGUCCAAAGCGACGUAGCUUUUUGAUCCUUCGAUGUCGGCUCUUCUCAUCAUUCCGUUGCAGAAGGCGGAAAGUGUCAGAUUGUUCACCUGUAAAAGAGGAACGUGAGCUGGGUUUAGACCGUCGUGAGACAGGUUAGUUUUACCCUACUUUCAGAUGGAUUUCUUGACUCGACACGGAGGUAGUACGAGAGGAACUGUCCGUGGGCGCAUUUGGUUCGUGCCUUCGAUGAACAUCGAGUGGGCAGAUGCUACGCGCUCUGCGAUAAAAACUGAAGGCCUCUAAAGUUUGAAUCGCACGAGAACAUGGAAGUCAGCUGUUGCAUCCCUUUUUCCAGACGCAUGAAUAUGUGUGUGCUUGUGGAGUUUGCCCUGGGGGCCGGUUCUUAACCUGCCUGGCUCCCGGCAAAUUCGUUUUACAUUUCGGAAGUUUGCAAUCAUGCAGUGUUGAGGAGACGACUCAUUGU
rnacentral:rRNA from 1 species